UGGGAUUGCUCGACGCUUGCGAAAUCAACAAUGAAAAUGGCGAAACGAAACUUGUGAAUCGUGCAUUUGCUCUUCAUGGUAGCUGCCAAAAAAUCGAAUCAAACUUAUGGGACACUGGAUUACAGGUUGCUGCCACUACUCCAUGUGCCCGCAAUUGUCUUGCGUGUAUGAUUACACUAACGGCGUCGCCCACCACGGCGGAAGUGUUUUGCGUACACGCGUUUCAGCAUGAAGCCUGCAGGUGGACGUAAAUUGUAGAAGGCAGCUAGUGGGGGAGAAGAUCAUGGUCAUAGGUCAUGUGACUCCUGGAGCUCCCAGUGGGCUCCCUUGUGGAGUACUUUUCAGAACACACACACACACACACAGUUUGCUCACAGAACCAACGAGUAGGAUGUUGCUUGAAUACUGAGAGAAAAUGGCGUAACACAUACAAAUAUCGUGUGACACAUAUGACAAUAAAAACAUUUUUCACGAGGGAUGCAUGAAACACUGUCGCAAUAUUGUGUGCAUGAACCAUUGUGUGUGACACAAGCCGUGGGGGCACACCGCCUCGGACACAUUUUGGGAAGCAUAAA